AAUACAACUUUUUUUUUUCAGAGACUGGAACUCACUUCUGCACAGAAGCCUUUUAAAGAAUUAAAUGGAGUUGAUGGGAUUCUUAAUCCUGAUUCUGGCUUUUUGUGCAGGGUUGAAUUUCAUAGAAAGAGUAAAUUUCAGACAAAGGAGAUGAAUGGAGUUAACCUUUAAUCUCUUUUUUGAAACACUGAGAGCUUUUGGUCUCAUGAGAUUGUGAAAUCAUGUUCCAUAUACAAAAGUUGUCUUUGUUUUGAAGGAUGGAUCAUGAUGACUGGUUGACUUGCAUGUUGAUGUUGUCUGCAGUGACUCUGGGAGCGCUUGUUGUUCCUGCUAUUUAAAAGCCCAAAUAACAGACAAAGUUUAUAGUUUAGCUUGCUGUUUGUGUGUGGAAGCUAUAAUAUUUUACUUUCAGUGCCUGAAAUAUAGAUAGUUUAAUAGGAGAAGGUUGAAUGUAGUUAAGGCUCAAUAUCGCUUUUAUUUAAAGAUCUCCUGAAUUGUGUUCUAGUUCCACUCCAGUAUAGCUCAAUUUAUUUCAUUUUCACUGCCACAAGACUUAAGAAAUAUCCUGGUCUUUUACAGUCAAAUAGAGUAUGAAUUACAAGCUUCUGUGCUGAAGUAGGAGAUUGGGCAUUAAAUAGGAUUUGGUGUUUAUCUGUUGCUAUGAGUGAUCCUGUCCAGCCUUGGAACGGCUCUGCUUGAACACUACUGAGGUUUACGUAGCAUCAGCUGUAGCCUGAGCGUAUCGUUGUGCUGAGUUCUGAGCAAAAGCAAUUAAAGGCAUAACUUCCAAUCACCUGCAAGAAUUGUAUAAGGAAGGUCAAGAUUUAUGUGCAAUGUCAGGAAGAGCAUGAAAAUCUUCUAGAGUUUUUCGCCUUUGUUUUGAUAUUUCUUGGACAAUUUACUUUCAGUUUUUGGGUGGUCUGUUUUCUCUUUGUCAGAAAGCACACAUAACCCUUUGGCAACAGUUCACUAGCUGGAGCAGAAACUUUUGCCAGGAAGAAUGUGAUGAAUCAUAACGUGUGACCAGAAUAACUGUACUGUUAAAAUGGCCAGGACUAAAUGGUAUUCCGCCCAUGAAACUGCACUUAUCUGGUUUGGUGUCUUUAACCUGAGAAUGCAGGUUGAAACAAGAAAUCCGUAGAAUAAACUGCAGUGGGAAAAUCAUUUGCUUGUAUAAACUGCAUCUAGACUAAUGUUUUAUGUAAAGUUCUAUGAUUUUACUAUGAAGGUAAUUCCAGAAGCUAUGCAUGCAAAACCUUUAAAAUGUAGACUUAGCCUUAAUUUUUGGCCUGGCUUGAUUAAUGGAUUUUAAAAGUCUCCUUUUGUAUGUUUGCCUGCAGCACAUGUAAGAAAAAAAUAUAAGGCAUCAUCGUGAUGAGAAAACUCAACUGUUUAACUUAAGCUGAAUGAAAUACACAGAGAAUACCAAAGUAUAUGCAAAGAAACUGACGUCCCUCCAGAUCAUUUUUAUUGUACCAUUCAGUUGUUAUCUAAGUGCGAGAAUGAAGAUGUUUCCGCUCUGAGCUGCACUUGCACUGCGUAAUGCCGUUCUCUUUACUGUUUAUGGAGAAUUUUGUGCAAGUAUUUUUUUACGUUACACCUUGAAUGGGCUCUAAUUCUUACAUUGGCUCUUCAAUACGCUGUCCGAGGUACCUCUGCCCCCAGCUCUGCAAAGCGAAGUACGGAGUACCGCACAUCUCUGGGCUUCUGAAGCCGAAGCGAACAAUUCUUGUGAGCUUUCCUGAGCUCGAGGAGGAAGAGAGGGGAAGAAGCCGGCCCCGAAGGUCCCCGUCCUCUUUUCCUUGCCCACACCAGCUUUCCCCAGUAGAUGGCAGCCGGAAUCCACACACAGCUGCUCGGCACCGAGUGGCAAUGCAUCUCAAUUUUCCUCGCCGAAGUGAUUUUUAGUUAACGCACACCCUAUGUUUUCAUUUAUGCUGGCCAAAUGAGGUUACUUUGACCUUGAUUAAUAAAAUGUAUAAUCAUUUUGGAAAUA